AUUGAACGCUGGCGGCAGGCCUAACACAUGCAAGUCGAACGGUAACAGGAAGCAGCUUGCUGCUUCGCUGACGAGUGGCGGACGGGUGAGUCAUGUCUGGGAAACUGCCUGAUGGAGGGGGAUAACUACUGGAAACGGUAGCUAAUACCGCAUAUCGUCGCAAGACCAAAGAGGGGGACCUUAGGGCCUCUUGCCAUCGGAUGUGCCCAGAUGGGAUUAGCUAGUAGGUGGGGUAACGGCUCACCUAGGCGACGAUCCCUAGCUGGUCUGAGAGGAUGACCAGCCACACUGGAACUGAGACACGGUCCAGACUCCUACGGGAGGCAGCAGUGGGGAAUAUUGCACAAUGGGCGCAAGCCUGAUGCAGCCAUGCCGCGUGUAUGAAGAAGGCCUUCGGGUUGUAAAGUACUUUCAGCGGGGAGGAAGGGAGUAAAGUUAAUACCUUUGCUCAUUGACGUUACCCGCAGAAGAAGCACCGGCUAACUCCGUG
rnacentral:rRNA from 1 species